UACAGAGGGGGCAAGCGUUGUUCGGAAUUACUGGGCGUAAAGGGCGCGUAGGCGGCCUUCUAAGUCGAACGUGAAAUCCCCGGGCUCAACCCGGGAACUGCGUCCGAUACUGGAAGGCUUGAAUCCGGGAGAGGGAUGCGGAAUUCCAGGUGUAGCGGUGAAAUGCGUAGAUAUCUGGAGGAACACCGGUGGCGAAGGCGGGAUCCUGGGCCAGUACUGACGCUGAGGAGCGAAAGCGUGGGGAGCAAACAGG
rnacentral:rRNA from 1 species